CCACUCCUCGUUGUCUUAAAAGGCAAAGGAGGGCAAAGGGACAACAGACACUUGGCGCAUCCACCAGAGCCCUAAGAAGCAGGAGGAACCGCAGCCACCAGACCACCACCAACAUUUUUUUUUAAAUUCCCCGAUAUAGAAACAAGAUUUUACAAAAAUGGGUACCAACAUGAACUUCAAGGGAUUUGGGAACGACCCACCAGGAAUCAACCCAUUAGCGAGGCAGUCUUCGAUCUAUUCGCUGACGUUUGAGGAGUUGCAGAACACCAUUGGAGGCUCAGGCAAGGACUUUGGGUCCAUGAACAUGGACGAGCUCUUGAAGAGCAUAUGGACGGCUGAAGAGACUCAGAUUAUGGCUCCAUCGGGUGGUGGAGCUGGUGGUCAGAAUGGGCUUGGCCUCGGUGGCGGGUCUCUGCAGAGACAGGGCUCGCUGACCCUGCCCAGAACGUUGAGCCAGAAAACUGUUGAUGAGGUCUGGAAGAACAUCUCAAAAGAAGGGACUGGUGCUGGUGGGUCUAAUAUGCCUCAGAGGCAACAGACCUUGGGAGAGAUGACUUUGGAGGAGUUUCUGGUCAAAGCUGGGGUUGUUAGAGAAGAGGCUCAAUUAGCUCCAAAGCCAGCUAAUAAUGGUGCUGGUUUUUUUGGUGACUUAUCUCGUUUUGGUAAUACUGGUGGUAAUUUGGACUUUGAGUUUCAGCAAACGAAUCGUGGUGUCGGGGUUAUGGGGAAUAGAGUUUCUGAGACCAAUAGUCAAGUUCCUAAUCAGGCCUCCAAUUUGCCAUUGAAUGCUAAUGGGGUUAGAUCAAAUCAGCAACAACAACAGUUACCACAGCAGCAGCAAAUAUUUCCCAAGCAGCAACCUGUCACUUACAACACUUCUCCAUUGCCUAUGGGACCAAAUGCUCAACUGGGUAGUCCUGGAAUGAGGGGUGGGAUUAUGGGAAUUGGUGAUCAGGGUCUGAAUGGUACUCUGGUUCAGAGUUCAGGGAUGGGAAUGGUUGGGUUAGGAGCUGCAGGGGCUGUUCGAGUGGCGACGGGGUCGCCUGCGAACCAGUUGUCAUCUGAUGGAAUUGGGAAGAGUAAUGGUACUGAUACGUCGUCUGUGUCACCGGUGCCUUAUGUGUUUAAUGGUGGCUUUAGGGGGAGGAAAGGCGGUGGCCCUGUGGAGAAGGUUGUGGAGAGAAGACAGAGGAGAAUGAUUAAAAAUAGAGAAUCAGCUGCCAGGUCCCGAGCUCGCAAGCAGAUUCAUGCGGGAGAAUGGUAAUGUGAUAGCGAUUCGACAUGACAAGAGAUGAAAGUUUGAGAAGUUACAGUCAUGAGAAGUUUUAAGGAUCCGGUUUAUUACAAGGCUUACACAAUGGAGUUGGAAGCCGAAGUUGCAAAACUAAAGGAGGAGAACCAAGAGUUGCAGAAAAAACAGGCUGAAAUGAUGGAAAUGCAGAAGAAUCAGGAUAUGGAGAUUAUAAAUCUUCAACGAGGUAAGAAGCGAUGCUUGAGAAGAACGCAGACCGGUCCAUGGUAAAGUGCAGAGGAGGGAAGAGGAUUCUGAUUAGAUGGGCUGUACAUAUUUCAGGAGCAUGUCUCUGCUGUAGAUUUGAGAGGUUUAGUGUGCUGUAGGAUGAACUUAAAUCUACAUUUUUCAUUUGCUUUCUCCUUUGAAUAUUAUGAGUAGAGUAGGUAGGGAGGGGAAGCAAAAUAUGGUCAGUUAGGACUAGGAGAUAUCCUUUGGUCCAUA